CCUACGGGAGGCAGCAGUAGGGAAUAUUGCUCAAUGGGGGAAACCCUGAAGCAGCAACGCCGCGUGGAGGAUGAAGGUUUUCGGAUUGUAAACUCCUUUUGUUAGAGAAGAUAAUGACGGUAUCUAACGAAUAAGCACCGGCUAACCCCGUGCCAGCAGCCGCGGUAAUACGGAGGGUGCAAGCGUUACUCGGAAGCACUGGGCGUAAAGAGACCGUAGGCGGGAUAGCAAGUCAGAUGUGAAAUCCUAUGGCUUAACCAUAGAACUGCAUUUGAAACUGUUAUUCUAGAGUAUGGGAGAGGUAGGUGGAAUUCUUGGUGUAGGGGUAAAAUCCGUAGAGAUCAAGAGGAAUACUCAUUGCGAAGGCGACCUGCUAGAACAUAACUGACGCUGAUGCGCGAAAGCGUGGGGAGCAAACAGGAUUAGAUACCCUAGUAGUC
rnacentral:rRNA from 1 species